rnacentral:tRNA from 1 species
CAAGAAGUAGUUUAAUUAGAAUAUCAGCUUUGGGAGUUGAUGGUAGGGAGAUUUCCUUCUUCUUGA